rnacentral:rRNA from 1 species
GCUGGCGGCAUGCUUAACACAUGCAAGUCGAACGGAAACGAUGGAAGCUUGCUUCCAGGCGUCGAGUGGCGAACGGGUGAGUAAUGCUUGGGAAUCUGCCUAAUAGUGGGGAACAACUCGGGGAAACUCGGGCUAAUACCGCAUAAUCUCUUCGGAGGAAAGGGGGCCUCUACAUGUAAGCUCUCGCUAAUAGAUGAGCCCAAGUCAGAUUAGCUUGUUGGUAAGGUAAUGGCUUACCAAGGCUACGAUCUGUAGCUGGUCUGAGAGGAUGAUCAGCCACACUGGGACUGAGACACGGCCCAGACUCCUACGGGAGGCAGCAGUGGGGAAUAUUGCACAAUGGGCGAAAGCCUGAUGCAGCAAUGCCGCGUGUGUGAAGAAGGCUCUAGGGUUGUAAAGCACUUUCAAUAAGGAAGAAAAGCAUAAAGUUAAUAACUUUAUGUAUUGACAUUACUUAUACAAGAAGCACCGGCUAAUUCCGUGCCAGCAGCCGCGGUAAUACGGAAGGUGCAAGCGUUAAUCGGAAUUACUGGGCGUAAAGCGCGCGUAGGCUGUUAUUUAAGUCGGAUGUGAAAUCCUCGGGCUCAACCUGGGAACUGCAUCCGAAACUGAAUAACUAGAGUAUGGGAGAGGUAAGUAGAAUUUCCGGUGUAGCGGUGAAAUGCGUAGAUAUCGGAAGGAAUACCAGUGGCGAAGGCGGCUUACUGGACCAAUACUGACGCUGAGGUGCGAAAGCGUGGGGAGCGAACAGGAUUAGAUACCCUGGUAGUCCACGCCGUAAACGAUGAGAACUAGAUGUUGGGAGGGUUAGCCUCUCAGUGUCGCAGCUAACGCAUUAAGUUC